CAAAACAAUAACUGAACGCCAAUAUAAUUCACAGUAUGAAAAUGGAAAAUUUAAUUAGAAUUUUCAAUUUUCAUUUAUUGCUCAAUAUGAAUAGCGUUCUGGCAUUAUUUCUAUUUAUUAUCAUCGCAGAAAGUAAAUACAUUACAAUCCAAGUUGAUUCAGAGGACAUUUUGAAAAUCAUAAAUGGGCUGGUGUCUUCAUUUGGGGUCAGUAAGCCAAUUUAUAGAAGGGGAAAUGGAAUGAGAUAUCGCAACCCUUAUCAUCCCGAAGAUGGAGUUUUAAAAGACUAUUCUGAUGUUAAAAGAUCGGUUCAUAACCAACAUACUUCAACAAGUUCAGAGACAAAUGAAAAUAUUGAUGAUGAAAUUGAAAUACAAAAUAAGCAGUUUAUCAUAGAAAGUCAAAACAAAUCUGAAAGCAAUGAUAUUUUAACUGAUAAUAGUAUUGAUAGAUUGGAAUGGAAACAAUCGAAAGAGUAUUUUAAAGAGAACAUUACUACUACUUCGAAAACGAAAUUUAUGAAGCAAGAAAGUAAUUUUCAGAAAAAGAUUUUAGCACCAUCAAAUUAAAUGUGAAUUUUAUUAAACAUGUUUUUUUUUUUAAUGAAUGAAAUAUUUAAUAAUAAAACGGUCAUAAUUAAAAAACUCGUAUCUACUGAUAUAUAUUAAAGGUAAGUACUAUUUCGCAAAAAC